rnacentral:rRNA from 1 species
GAGCGGCCGUAGCAAUACGGCAGCGGCAGACGGGAGAGUAACACGUGGGAACGCGCCCUUCGGUUCGGAAUAACUCAGGGAAACUUGAGCUAAUACCGGAUACGUCCGUAAGGAGAAAGAUUUAUCGCCGAAAGAUCGGCCCGCGUCUGAUUAGCUAGUUGGUGAGGUAAUGGCUCACCAAGGCGACGAUCAGUAGCUGGUCUGAGAGGAUGAUCAGCCACAUUGGGACUGAGACACGGCCCAAACUCCUACGGGAGGCAGCAGUGGGGAAUAUUGGACAAUGGGCGCAAGCCUGAUCCAGCCAUGCCGCGUGAGUGAUGAAGGCCCUAGGGUUGUAAAGCUCUUUUGUGCGGGAAGAUAAUGACGGUACCGCAAGAAUAAGCCCCGGCUAACUUCGUG